rnacentral:rRNA from 1 species
AGUGAACGCUGGCGGUAGGCCUAACACAUGCAAGUCGAACGGCAGCACAGUAAGAGCUUGCUCUUACGGGUGGCGAGUGGCGGACGGGUGAGGAAUACAUCGGAAUCUACUUUUUCGUGGGGGAUAGCGUAGGGAAACUUACGCUAAUACCGCAUACGACCUACGUGUGAAAGCAGGGGAUCUUCGGACCUUGCGCGAUUGAAUGAGCCGAUGUCGGAUUAGCUAGUUGGCGGGGUAAAGGCCCACCAAGGCGACGAUCCGUAGCUGGUCUGAGAGGAUGAUCAGCCACACUGGAACUGAGACACGGUCCAGACUCCUACGGGAGGCAGCAGUGGGGAAUAUUGGACAAUGGGCGCAAGCCUGAUCCAGCCAUACCGCGUGGGUGAAGAAGGCCUUCGGGUUGUAAAGCCCUUUUGUUGGGAAAGAAAAGCAGCAGGUUAAUACCCCGCUGUUCUGACGGUACCAAAAGAAUAAGCACCGGCUAACUUCGUG